GUGCUUGCUUUAGCAGCACAUGUAUUAAAAUUGGGACCAUACAGAGGAGAUUAGCGUGGCUCCUGUGAAAAGAUGACAUGCAAAUUUGUGAAGAGAAAACACAGAGU
ensembl:snRNA U6 U6 spliceosomal RNA